UGGGAAUUCAGCAAAGCACAGUGAAGAAAACACAAAGGGAUGAAAAAAACGAACACUUUCCGUUGUUGAGGACUAGAGAAAAUCAGUUUGUUUAGUCUACCAGAAAGAGCUUCCACAGCAAAUACCUAGAGCGUUAGUAUGUUCAGAUGUUUUAAUAAUGUCAGCUUAUUCUCAUAUUAAUAAUACAGAAGCGGUAAGCUCACACUCUACUCAAGUAUUUUACGACCAGGCAAAUUCUUGAACAAGUGACUGAGUUCAAUCUGACUGAAAGGUGUUCAGCUCCACGCCAGGUACCAUAGCGAUAUUUAAAGACCUACAAUAUUAAGAUCAUCUUAUCUAAUACUCACCUUUGACCCUAAGGUGUGAGAAAAUGUCAUUU